rnacentral:rRNA from 1 species
UACGGAAGGGGGCUAGCGUUGCUCGGAAUCACUGGGCGUAAAGGGCGCGUAGGUGGCCACCAUGAAGGCCGCGGUGAAAGUUCGGGGCUCAACCCCGGAUCGGCCGGCGGCGACUGUGGGGCUUGGGUACGUGUAGAGGCAGAUGGAAUUCCGGGUGUAGCGGUGGAAUGCGUAGAGAUCCGGAAGAACACCAGUGGCGAAGGCGGUCUGCUGGGCAGUGGACUCGAGAGAGUCCUUCAACCGACGACUGAGGCGCGACAGCGUGGGGAGCAAACAGG